AGGUUUUGGACUUUGUGCAACGCUGCUGAGUUGGAUUAUGUAUCCUGCAGUUUUACCAUGCACAAUAAGGAGACAUACAGCAUUAAAUUAAAGUCACUUAUAUUGAUUUCCACCAAUUUCCGAAUACUUCUCAAUAAAUAAAUCUUGAACAUGAUACAAACAGACGGACAAAAUCUGCAAUGUUUGACGACAUGGCAAAGAUCAGGCGAGACGAUCUUUAAUUAAGCUUUAUCACGGCUAAUACAGUCAACUGCAUAUGAACGUCGAUUACAAGUUAAGCAAUACACGAAGAUGAAACGAAAAAUCAAAUUCAAAAUUAAGAAACAUAUUUUCCUUACAAGUAACAAGUUACUUCUUCACAUUUCUUCUCGUAUUUAAAAAUGUUUAGUCAAACUGAAAAGACGUAAAAGAAAAAAAUUGAAGCCCUUACCAAAACACUUCUCGUUGUAAAUGGGAUUCGCUUGAGUUCCUUAACUUAUUUGCCGAGAAGAUUGAGUGUAAAAUAUAUAUCACAAUCUGAUUAUUGAAGAAAAGACUUCUAAUUUGAUGCGUUUGCACUAAAAAGAAUGAGAAGUAUAACGAAUAAUUGCAUAGAAAGAAUCAAGAAAAAAAUUUAAACCUGGACAGUUUUCUGUUUUGAGUUUAUAAUUAAACUGGACUAUUAUAUCAAGGUAACUAGGAAAUGUCCGUACCCCCAAACUAUGGACUGUUUUCUUGCCAUACGUCGUAAUCUAAGUUAAAGCACUUACAACAAGAAGCCGUUGUUUAUCAUUGAAUUACUUGGGAGUAAAAAAGAAAGUGAAUAUCUUCAUAUAUUAUCGGUGUAAUUCAUGUAUGGAAGUAGAAACAGGGGACAUUUUGGCGGCAAAAUAAUGGUGGAAUGAGAUAGAAGUACGCAGGCGAUCUUUUACACAGGAGACAGAAAAUAAAAAAGUUGAAAGGUUAUCUUGUAACCAUGCUGGUAUUUGAUUAAAUAGAAUGAAUCGAUUCUUAGAAGCUAUUGGUGGGAAUAAACUUAUUUAUAACUGAUAACUCUGGCAAAAUAAUUUAACGAAAAUAUAUUUAACACUCCCUUAUGUCUUCCAAAAUAUUUCGUUCAUAUCCGGUUGCUUCAUAUACAUUUUUCUAUGUUUAAAUUAUACUAGUUCUAUACUAUACUAUAUAUAUAUGUGUAUUAUAUAAUUCAUUAUCGAAAAGAAAUAUACGAACAAAGAAUACGAUACACCACCGACGCUUCUUUUGUAUUACAAGAUUCUCUAAGAACUGUUUGGAGUAUUUUUCUGUUCUUGAUCCACGGAUUUAAUAUUUAACAACCGACUGUGAUAAAGCUGUGUUUUGACUUGUUUUCCAGGCAUAUUUCAUAAUAUUUUACAAGAUUUGUGAUAUAUUGAUAUUGGUUUAAAUAAGAACAAAAUGAAUUAAAAUUGCCUUUCCAGCACAAACAUACAUGAGAUAUGAAAAUCUGCCUUCGGUCAUCUUUUAAAAGCUGAGAGUUUUAACAAACCCCAAACGAAUUGAUGGAUGAUGCCGAUGUGAAUAUUAUCAUUAUUAUAUAUUACUAGAUCAGUGAAUGCAUUUUACUUGGUGGGUUUCCAAUUCGGUUUCAACACACUAAAUUCAAACAUUUCCUUGAAUUUAAUUAUUUAUUAUGUAAGGACAGCAAUAAACCUGAAAGGCCGAGAGAAACGUGAAAGAGAAAGAGGAGGUCAAAAGAAAUAAAUAUAUUCGGUGAAAUAGUGAAAUAACUCUCGACUGUCGAAAAGUAAUUAAUUUAAAUGUUUCAUAUCUGCAAAUCACGGAUGAAGUUUGAGGAAUGUCUUGAAUAUUCGACAGGUGACAAACAAAAUCAAAUGCUUCAGAAUAUAAUUCAUUGUUAAUUUAUUUUAUAUUUUCAUGGACAGAUAAAUAUUUAACAAGUUUACGUUUCUUCAAAAAUUAUGUUAUAUUCAGGAAGAAGGAACAUUUUAAACUUUACCAAGAAUUUAAUAUAUUCAUCGAACAAGUGUUUCCGUUCAUAACCGCAAUGUCACUACACUCGUCAGAUUAUGAAAUAUAUUCAGUUAAAACUCGACAUGGAAGAUAAAAGCUAUUUAAAUGAUACACCAUUAUUAUUCCUUGUGUCUGGAGAGAAAAAUGGAUAAUAAUUUCAUUCAAUUUUUAAAAACAAAAAGAAUAGUUAUUAAUCAUUAGACGUAUUAAAUCUUCUCUUUGUUCACACAAUAAAUCCACCAUUAUUCUUAAUUAAAUAGAAGUCGAUAUUAAUCAAACCAUCGCUGAAACAUAUACAUAUAUAUAUAUAUAUAUAUAUAUAUAUAUAUAUAUAUAUAUAUAUAUAUAUAUAUUAUAUAUAUAUAUGUAUAUAUAUAUAUCUAUAUAGAAAUUACGAGAUGUAUCUAGAACGAAAAAAGAACCGGAGAUAUAGAUAAAAAGACAAUAUACUGAAUCAAGAAUCUCAUUGAAACAAAGUUAGAUUUUAUUUCCUACUACUGAAUGAAGUUGGAAUUUCAUUCAAUCGAUAUUUAAGGCGGGCACAACUUUGAACAACUUACACACGAAAGAUCCCGCCCCUCUGCCGCCUCCUUCUUUUUUAAAAAUUUUCUUUGGGUUUCUUAUCCCAAAUAUCAAAAUAUAAUCUUGUCAAAAUUUAUUCUUAAGGUUUCUAUUGAGAUAACUAUUACAGCAAUAAUAACACAACAACAACAACACGAUCAACAACAACAAUAAUAAUAAUAAUAUAAUAAUAAUAAUAAUAAUAAUAAAAGAGCUAACAUCUUGCCGAAUAUUCUCCGGAAAAGAGCAAAUAUACGAUACGAGAAUGAAACAGUUUGGGAGACAUCUCCUGAAUUUCGUGCAAUAAUCUGUUGUCGACAUUUCUAGAAUUUUCUGAAUAAUCGACCGACAAACAAUCGUA